rnacentral:rRNA from 1 species
UACAGAGGGGGCCAGCGUUAUUCGGAAUUAUUGGGCGUAAAGGGCGCGUAGGCGGCUCGACAAGUCCCGCGUGAAAGCCCCCCGGCUCAACUGGGGAACUGCGCGGGAAACUGUCGGACUUGAGUUCGGGAGAGGGAAGCGGAAUUCCGGGUGUAGCGGUGAAAUGCGUAGAUAUCCGGAGGAACACCGGUGGCGAAGGCGGCUUCCUGGACCGACACUGACGCUGAGGCGCGAAAGCUAGGGGAGCAAACGGG